AUUGAACGCUGGCGGCAGGCUUAACACAUGCAAGUCGAGCGGGGGAGGUUGCUUCGGUAACUGACCUAGCGGCGGACGGGUGAGUAAUGCUUAGGAAUCUGCCUAUUAGUGGGGGACAACAUUCCGAAAGGAAUGCUAAUACCGCAUACGCCCUACGGGGGAAAGCAGGGGAUCUUCGGACCUUGCGCUAAUAGAUGAGCCUAAGUCGGAUUAGCUAGUUGGUGGGGUAAAGGCCUACCAAGGCGACGAUCUGUAGCGGGUCUGAGAGGAUGAUCCGCAACACUGGGACUGAGACACGGCCCAGACUCCUACGGGAGGCAGCAGUGGGGAAUAUUGGACAAUGGGCGGAAGCCUGAUCCAGCCAUGCCGCGUGUGUGAAGAAGGCCUUUUGGUUGUAAAGCACUUUAAGCGAGGAGGAGGCUCUUAAGGUUAAUACCCUUGAUGAGUGGACGUUACUCGCAGAAUAAGCACCGGCUAACUCUGUGCCAGCCGCCGCCGUAAAAC
rnacentral:rRNA from 1 species